rnacentral:rRNA from 1 species
GCGUGUGUGAUGAAGGCCUUAGGGUUGUAAAGCACUUUCAACUGUGAAGAUGAUGACGGUAGCAGUAGAAGAAGCCCCGGCUAACUCCGUGCCAGCAGCCGCGGUAAUACGGAGGGGGCUAGCGUUGUUCGGAAUUACUGGGCGUAAAGCGCGCGUAGGCGGAUUGACGAGUCAGAGGUGAAAUCCCGGGGCUUAACCCCGGAACUGCCUUUGAUACUGUCAGUCUCGAGUCCGGGAGAGGGUAGUGGAAUUCCAAGUGUAGAGGUGAAAUUCGU